rnacentral:rRNA from 1 species
AGUGAACGCUGGCGGUAGGCCUAACACAUGCAAGUCGAACGGCAGCACAGUAAGAGCUUGCUCUUACGGGUGGCGAGUGGCGGACGGGUGAGGAAUACAUCGGAAUCUACUUUUUCGUGGGGGAUAACGUAGGGAAACUUACGCUAAUACCGCAUACGACCUACGGGUGAAAGCAGGGGAUCUUCGGACCCUGCGCGAUUGAAUGAGCCGAUGUCGGAUUAGCUAGUUGGCGGGGUAAAGGCCCACCAAGGCGACGAUCCGUAGCUGGUAUGAGAGGAUGAUCAGCCACACUGGAACUGAGACACGGUCCAGACUCCUACGGGAGGCAGCAGUGGGGAAUAUUGGACAAUGGGCGCAAGCCUGAUCCAGCCAUACCGCGUGGGUGAAGAAGGCCUUCGGGUUGUAAAGCCCUUUUGUUGGGAAAGAAAAGCAGCAGGUUAAUACCCCGCUGUUCUGACGGUACCCAAAGAAUAAGCACCGGCCAACUUCGUG